GAAACGGGGAGUGAGGACACUUGCAGCAAAUGUAAGAAUGCCGGUGACUGAGUUAGAAGCAUGCUUCCAAGCUGUCCGUGUCCUCGGCAUCAAGAAGCGGAGCCUGGAAGCUUCCGAAUUUAUCCAGAAUGCGGUCUACAUUCACCUUCGGCAGAUACCCAGCUGUCCCUGCACCAUUUGUUGAAUAGACUAUUCUUUCAAUG